GAUGAAGAACGCAGCGAAAUGCGAUAAGUAGUGUGAAUUGCAGAAUUCAGUGAAUCAUCGAAUCUUUGAACGCACAUUGCGCCCCUUGGUAUUCCAUGGGGCAUGCCUGUUCGAGCGUCAUUUGUACCCUCAAGCUUUGCUUGGUGUUGAGCGUCUUGUCUCUAGCUUUGCUGGAGACUCGCCUUAAAGUAAUUGGCAGCCGGCCUACUGGUUUCGGAGCGCAGCACAAGUCGCACUCUCUAUCAGCAAAGGUCUAGCAUCCAUUAAGCCUUUUUUUUCAACUUUUGACCUCGGAUCAGGUAGGGAUACCCGCUGAACUUAAGCAUAUCAAUAAGCGGAGGA
rnacentral:misc_RNA from 1 species